UACGUAGGGUGCAAGCGUUGUCCGGAAUCAUUGGGCGUAAAGCGCGUGUAGGCGGUCCGGUAAGUCCGCUGUGAAAGUCGGGGGCUCAACCCUCGAAAGCCGGUGGAAACUAUCUGGCUAGAGUCCGGAAGAGGAGAAUGGAAUUCCUGGUGUAGCGGUGAAAUGCGCAGAUAUCAGGAAGAACACCCGUGGCGAAGGCGGUUCUCUGGGACGGUACUGACGCUGAGACGCGAAAGCGUGGGGAGCGAACAGG
rnacentral:rRNA from 1 species